rnacentral:lncRNA from 1 species
UUUGGCUGCACCAUUGCCUACACCUCAAGAAACAAGAAGCAAUCCGUUUCAUUUCCUUUCUAUGCUAAUGUCCGGGACCUUGCUGCAAAUAGUGAUGUUCUCGUUCUUUGUUGUGCACUGACAAAGGAAACUUACCACAUGAUCAAUAAGGAUGUCAUGGUAGCAUUAGGGAAGGAUGGAGUGAUAAUCAACGUCGGGCGUGGCUCGUUGAUCAACGAGAAGGAAUUAGUGCAGUGUUUGGUGGGGGGAGAUAUGGGUGGUGCUGGUCUUGAUGUGUAUGAAAACGAGCCUAAUGUCCCAAAGGAGCUAUUUGGACUUGAUAAUGUCGUGUUGUCUCCGCACUGCGCUGUCAUGACUCCAGAAUCCUUUGAAGCUUAGGACCAGCUGAUUGUUAUCAACUUAAAAGCCUUCUUUUCCAACAAACCUUUGGUAUCAGUAGUCUCAAAUGAAUGAACCAUUCAUUCUUUUGCUUUAAUGUAAAGCAUUGACAAAUGCUCAAUGAAGAAAGGAUAAAGAUUUGGUUAAAUAACUGAAAUCCAUACAUUGGUUUCUGGAAAUCAGGAUGUUGGUAUCUUUGUUAAAUUGUCUGCAGAAUCAUUGAAGCAUUAGAAAAUUUCAAAAUUUUUAUUUUUCUCAAUAUAUCUAUUUGAGCGAGUGAAAUGAUUAAUCAUUCAUAUUUUGUAGGUUCAUUAAGAAAUUACUUUAGUCAAAUAUAUAUGAAUUUUGAUUAAAUAUGCAUGAAUUAAGAAACUGCUAUAAUAGUAUACAUAAUAAUAAUAAUAAAAGAAAAAUGAUAAAUCUUAAAAUUAUACUUGAAUUUAAUUAAAACUGCAUAAAAUUAUAUAAAAUUCUAAUACACCCUUUGAGAGUAAUGCUUAUUAAGUCAAUAGCAAAACUGCAGCUAAUCUCUUAAGAGAUUUAACUAAAACUACAUAAAUUUUUAAAACACACACCCUUCGAGAGUAUUACUUACUAAGUCAAUAACCGAACCACUGCUAGCCUCUUUGAAUGCACUUGAAUCAUCUUGACGAAUGCCUUUAUAUUGUUAUUAUUAGUUACUAUUCUGUCUAACACAAUUAUAUUGUAUAAUAAUAUUUUUUUUUUCAACAUUCGAUUUGUUCUGUUGUAAAAUAUAAACAGAACAGCAUUCUAAAUUAAAACACCUUCCAUCGCUAAUAAACCUACUUUUCCAACAAAACAAAAUUUUACCACCAAGCUUUAAACCUUUUCUCACGAUUAAUACCUGGCAUCGUCAAGGAAGAUGCCAUUUCAUUUUCAUUCUUUUCAACAUUUCCAACCUUUAACAUGUCAUUUCUAUCCCUUUCCAACCUUUAAUAAAAAAUUAUGUUUAAAAAAAUUCAAAAUAUUUUUAAAAUUAUUAUUUUGAUCCAAAAGACAAGCAAUUUUGCAUCAACUAUUCACCUUAACUAGAAAAGUUUGCAUAAGAUCAUAAUUUUACAUCAUUCCUAUCUCUUUUUAAUAAAAACAUGAUAAAUCAAAAUUUUCUUUUUAAUUUCAAUUUUUUCUCCUAAAAAAAUUAAAUUUAAUUAAAAAUGGUAAAACUUAAAGAAUAAAAAAUAUAAUUUAUCAUCUUCCUAUUAUUAAAAAUGUGGAGAAAAAUGGAAUGAAAAUUUUAUAUAAUUUUAUCUCUACCUAAAAUUCAAUAAAUGAAUGCGAUGAUAUUGACCACAUAAUACGAAACAAAACUGUACUUUUUUUUCUUUUGAAACUUGGGAGUCAUCACUUAGUCCUCUCCUACCCCAACAAUGACCGGCAAAGAAGCCCAACAACCCGAAGAGCUACCUGUAGUCUUCGUUCAUCGUCGACCCUCAUUCAUCCUUCCUUUUGGGGACCAUUUACGUUCUCAAUUCCAUGUCCUGGACCCUUAUGAGUCGCCUGAGCCGUACGACUCCUUUCUGGCCCGUCAUGCUCCCUCCAUAAGAGCUCUCAUGACUAUGGGCCCCACCCUAGUUUCCGCCGAGUUUCUCGACCGUCUGCCUGUUUUGGAGCUGAUAGUGGCUACAAGUGCUGGCCUUGAUCAUAUAGACCUCCCUGCUUGUCGAAGCCGAGGCAUCGUUGUUACUAAUGCUAGCUCUGCCUUCGCAGAGGAUGCAGCGGAUUGUGCUGUUGGGUUGUUGAUCGAUGUCCUUAGAAGAAUCUCUGCAGCUGAUAGAUUUGUUCGUGGUCGGAUGUGGCCUGUUAAGGAAACCUACCCCCUUGGUUUUAAGGUAAAAACCUUAAGAGUAACUGAAUUUAACAUAUAAGUGAAGGAACCCAGUUGUGAAAAUUAAGGUAUUUGUUUAGGAUAUUUUGGUCUUGUGGAAAUUUAAGCCUUUAGAUAUUCCAAGGUUCAUGAAAAGAAAUCUAAAUAAAAGUCUGUUUCUUGAUCUUAAAUGGGCUAUCUUUCUUUUUUAGGUUUAUAGUAUAGAUCUUCACUUUUACAAUGGUUUCUGCAAAUAAAGCACAACUCAGAGCAGGAUGCAACAUGAUGUGACAUUGCUCUAGCACAUUAGGCUUAUAGUUUAUGAAAUUUUGGGAAUUUGUUGAUAGAAAUGGCUUAUUCUUCAUAACUACCUAUGACUGGCAUUUAAUACCAAAAUAUGCAAUCACAGCUAGGGGGAAAGCGUGUAGGGAUUGUGGGAUUGGGAAGCAUUGGUUCUGAAGUUGCAAAGAGGCUCUCAGCCUUUGGCUGCACCAUUGCCUACACCGCAAGAAACAAGAAGCAAUCUGUUCCAAUUCCAUUCUAUGCUAAUGUCCGGGACCUUGCUGCAAACAGUGAUGUUCUUGUUCUUUGUUGUGCACUGACAAAGGAAACUUACCACUUGGUCAAUAAGGAUGUCAUGGUAGCAUUAGGGAAGGAAGGAGUGAUAAUCAACGUCGGGCGUGGCUCGUUGAUCAACGAGAAGGAAU